rnacentral:rRNA from 1 species
UUCCGUAGGGUGAACCUGCGGAAGGAUCAUUACCGAGUGAGGGCCCUCUGGGUCCAACCUCCCACCCGUGUUUAUCGUACCUUGUUGCUUCGGCGGGCCCGCCUCACGGCCGCCGGGGGGCAUCCGCCCCCGGGCCCGCGCCCGCCGAAGACACACAAACGAACUCUUGUCUGAAGAUUGCAGUCUGAGUACUUGACUAAAUCAGUUAAAACUUUCAACAACGGAUCUCUUGGUUCCGGCAUCGAUGAAGAACGCAGCGAAAUGCGAUAAGUAAUGUGAAUUGCAGAAUUCAGUGAAUCAUCGAGUCUUUGAACGCACAUUGCGCCCCCUGGUAUUCCGGGGGGCAUGCCUGUCCGAGCGUCAUUGCUGCCCUCAAGCACGGCUUGUGUGUUGGGCUCUCGCCCCCCGCUUCCGGGGGGCGGGCCCGAAAGGCAGCGGCGGCACCGCGUCCGGUCCUCGAGCGUAUGGGGCUUCGUCACCCGCUCUGUAGGCCCGGCCGGCGCCCGCCGGCGAACACCAUCAAUCUUAACCAGGUUGACCUCGGAUCAGGUAGGGAUACCCGCUGAACUUAAGCAUAUCAAUAAGAGAAGGAA